rnacentral:rRNA from 1 species
UAGGGAAUCUUGCACAAUCGACGAAAGUCUGAUGCAGCAACGCCGCGUGUGCGAUGAAGGCCUUCGGGUUGUAAAGCACUUUUCUGAGGGAAGAGAAAGGACGGUACCUCAGGAAUAAGUCUCGGCUAACUACGUGCCAGCAGCCGCGGUAAUACGUAGGAGGCAAGCGUUAUCCGGAUUUAUUGGGCGUAAAGCGCGUGCAGGUGGUUUGGUAAGUUGGGUAUGAAAUCUUCUGGCUUAACUAGGAGAGGUUGCUCAAAACUACCAGACUAGAGGACGAUAGAGGAAGGUGGAAUUCCCGGUGUAGUAGUGAAAUGCGUAGAUAUCGGGAGGAACACCAGUGGCGAAGGCGGCCUUCUGGGUCGUUCCUGACACUAAGACGCGAAAGCAUGGGUAGCAAACGGGAUUAGAAACCCCGGUAGUCCAUGCCGUAAACGAUGUGAACUUGAUGUCGGUGACGUAAUAGUCAUCGGUGUCGAAGCUAACGCGAUAAGUUCACCGCCUGGGGAGUACGAUCGCAAGGUUA